GAUGAACGCUGGCGGCGUGCUUAACACAUGCAAGUCGAACGGAAAGGCCCAAGCUUGCUUGGGUUCUCGAGUGGCGAACGGGUGAGUAACACGUGGGUGAUCUGCCCUGCACUUCGGGAUAAGCCUGGGCAACUGGGUCUAAUACCUGAUAGGACGAUGGUUUGGAUGCGAUUGUGGAAAGUUUUUUCGGUGUGGGAUGAGCUCGCGGCCUAUCAGCUUGUUGGUGGGGUAGUGGCGUAACAAGGCGUAGACGUGUAUCCGGCAUGAGAGGGUUGACGGCCACACUGGGACUGAGAGACAGCCCAGAGUCCUACGGGAGGCAGCAGUGGGGAAUAUUGGACAAAGGGAGCAAGCGUGAGGCAGCGACGCCGCGUGAGGGAUGACGGCCUUCGGGUGGUAAAAUCCUUUGGCUAGGGACGAAGCGUUUUUGUGACGGUACCUGGAGAAGAAGCACCGGCUAACUACGUG
rnacentral:rRNA from 1 species